CCUACGGGUGGCUGCAGUAACGAAUCUUCCCCAAUGCGCGCAAGCGUGAGGGAGCGACGCCGCGUGCGGGACGAAGUCCUUCGGGAUGUAAACCGCUGUCAGGGGACACCAAGUUCUGAGGAUCCCCAGAGGAAGGGGCGGCUAACUCUGUGCCAGCAGCCGCGGUAAGACAGAGGCCCCGAGCGUUAGGCGGAAUCACUGGGCUUAAAGCGUGUGUAGGCGGACGCCUAAGUGUCUUGUGAAAUCCCACGGCUCACCCGUGGAACCGCUGGGCA
rnacentral:rRNA from 1 species